rnacentral:rRNA from 1 species
UACGGAAGGCAGCAGUGGGGAAUAUUGCACAAUGGGCGCAAGCCUGAUGCAGCCAUGCCGCGUGUAUGAAGAAGGCCUUCGGGUUGUAAAGUACUUUCAGUCGUGAGGAAGGUGUUAAGGUUAAUAACCUUAGCAAUUGACGUUAGCGACAGAAGAAGCACCAGCUAACUCCGUGCCAGCAGCCGCGGUAAUACGGAGGGUGCGAGCGUUAAUCGGAAUUACUGGGCGUAAAGGGCACGCAGGCGGUUAAUUAAGUUGGAUGUGAAAUCCCCGGGCUUAACCUGGGAAUGGCAUUCAAGACUGGUUAGCUAGAGUCUUGUAGAGGGGGUAGAAUUCCAUGUGUAGCGGUGAAAUGCGUAGAGAUGUGGAGGAAUACCGGUGGCGAAGGCGGCCCCUGGGACAAAGACUGACGCUCAUGUGCGAAAGCGUGGGGAGCAAACAGGAUUAGAUACC